rnacentral:rRNA from 1 species
UACGGAGGGUGCAAGCGUUAUCCGGAUUCACUGGGUUUAAAGGGUGCGUAGGUGGCUUUGUAAGUCAGUGGUGAAAUCCCGGAGCUUAACUCCGGAACUGCCAUUGAUACUGCUUAGCUUGAAUUAGGUUGAGGUGGAUGGAAUGUAACAUGUAGCGGUGAAAUGCUUAGAUAUGUUACAGAACACCAAUUGCGAAGGCAGUUCACUAAGCCUAUAUUGACACUGAGGCACGAAAGCGUGGGGAUCAAACAGG